GAGCAGGGGUUCGUUCGGGGGCGGAGGCCGUGGGCCGCCGGCCGCCCUCGUUUGUCCGCGGGCCGUUCUUGCGCCCCGACCUGCCUCUGCGCGCCGCUCUCUGCCGAGGCUGCGGUACACAGAUGCAUAUGCUGCCUGUAAGAGAUGAUGAAGAUACAAGUUCAUACUUUGCUCCUUGCUUCUCAGAUAUGGACGGGUGACAAUCUACAAGCCACAUGAGUGAUCCUCAGCUGCCUUGCCACUCUCUACUAGUAAUCAAAGUGUGGGGGACACAGAAGUGUCUUGGUGAUGGGAUGACAAACCUGCUGUAUGUCAGGGUAUAGAAUGCACAAACAGCCUUUGUUCAUGAAAUCCAGUGCACGUGUACUCACCUAUGCAUUGAACAGGAGAGGAAAAGUCAGUAUCACAUGCUCCUGAAGCCAGUGAAGGAGAAACAGCAGUCUGAGAUGAAACAACAUUCAACAAAACCUCAUCAAAUGCUUUCAGAGACACGAAUUCCACCUUGGGAUUGAAAUCGUACUGUGUGAGUCUGUUUUGCAGUGGCAACGUGCUGAUGGUGUGAAUUAGUCAUUAGUUUAUGACUCCGAGGAAAAGGACUGGUGAAAAUUGUAACUUAGAACGUAAGUAAGUGGACACUCACCAUUCAGAAUGAAAUACUGCAUAACCUGUGAGUGUGUUACUAUAAUUUCUGGUCUAUUUCCAAACAAAUGAUGUUAAAACAGGAGUCGGAAAUAUCUGGUAGGGAUUUGAAGUACAAUGUGGUAGUAACCCCAAAACCUAUUACUUUACAUUCAAGGUUUCUCCAUUAGACCUCUUUAAUUCAUCCCUAAUUAUAAAUUGCUGUCUGUAAGUUUCCAAAAAAUUGUUUAAUACUCCCAGGCCUAAUGCUAUAAUUUGGGGCAGAAUACAAUACCAUAAUGCCAUAUUUUCAGUGCAGAAUUACACCUUAUCUCCAAUAAACCACCAAUGUCUUCCAGUAUUUUUUAGAUUUAAUGUAUUUCAGUAUGCAGAAUCUUUAGCUUGUGUGGUUAAUCUUUUUUCUUAGUCUUUAAGCAGAACUGAGUCUCUUCAUUCUCAGUGCAGAAGUGCAGUACAACAGAAGAACAAAUCCAUUCUGCAGGUGGAAAGAAAAGCUGUGGGUUCAUGGUGAGGACAGCACCCAUCUGCCCCAGAUAAAUGUAAGUCCAUCUUCCCAGCUUGUAGGUGCCUUUGUUUACCUUUUGCUCCAUAACAAAACCAGAAGCUGCUUGAUAAAAUUCCCUUUGGAUUACAACCAUAAAUAAACCCGUUCUGCAUUCUUAAAUACAGAAUGCAGUUUUUGUGGCAGAUAGCUUGUAAGCUGUAAACAUAAAAAUCACAUACAAAUAAAUAAGCGUUGAGAAAGCAGUUAUAUGACAUGAAGUGUGUAUGAAGAAAAUGCUCUGAAUAUGGGAAAAAAUGAAAGGAUAGCUCCACAGCAGUAGUAGCUGUACCUGUUCAAUGCACUGAGUUAAGGGAGACUUCUACCUUGCUGUUGUUGUCUCUGUAACUAUUUACAUCUUAAAAUCUUAAAACCACUGACAGUUAAGGGAAAACAAACUUGUGCAUUUGGGCAUGGCAGGUCUUUUCUGCUGCGAGCUUCACACAAGCUUCUGCCUCCACACUGAUCUUUUCUUACACUGCUCUUAGGUAAUGUGUCUUCUCUCUUGUUUGUAAUCAUUUCUCCCUUUUAUUUGUAAUACACAAAAUAUUUAAGAAGCUCAUGAUUUAAGAGUAAUUAAGAUAGUGCUACCUCAAGAACAUCAAAUGUUACUCUUAUGUACGCUCAUAUUUGUUCUGCUGAGCAGGCCCAUCUCAGUGACAGAGGGAACUGCAAAUAAUACAGACUGACAUCAAACUAGCUAUUGCUGUAAGUGGGCAGAACAAAAGUUAUUUCUGCAUUUCUUGACACAGAAACACAUGGGUGGCUAUAUACUGUGUGAAAAAAACCACUACAUUGUUGUGUGCUUAUGAUAAAAAAAACAGGAAUCCUUUGCCAAUAAAAUACUGCUAUUUUUGGAUAAACAAAACCAAAAUCAAAUAAGAGCAAACAAGUGUAUAUAUGCCGUGCAUAACACACAGUCCCAUAUCAUCAACAUCAGUGAUUUUAGCAGUGUACUUCCUGAAAUGGGAGUUUUCACUAGAAUGAAAAUUGCUUCCACGUCACUUGGAAGUAAAGCUCACUGCUGUCAGGUUGCCAGAACCCUUAAAUGAGUGCUCAAGCAUCAUUACCUCUUUCAGUGAUUUCAUAUAUUUAUACUUACUGUCACAAGUAGGAGAGGAUCAGCAAGGAUUUGUUCCUUGUUCAGAAGAUCAUGGAGUCUGCUACCUGCCAGCAGGCCCUGCUUCCAGCAGCUGAAGCUCUUAUCACAAAUCUUGUUCCUGACAUACUUCAGCAUCCAGUACUUCUUUUACACCUUCCGGGGUCCUAUAUUUAGGUAUUUCUUCUUCUCCCCAGUUGCUCCAAGCCAGAAACAUAUCCCUUUACAUAGAAGAUUCUUAAAUUUGUUCACACUGCUUUUUUGGCAUUUGUUUCCUUGGUAAGUUCCACUUCUGUAGACUGUUCGGUACUAAGCGUAUUAUGAAAGUCUAGGUGGUAUUCUACAUUAUAAAUCACAGAUACACACAAGAUUGGCAGGAUUCUUGAACACUGGCCUGCAGCAUCCCAGAUCCAUAGUGCCGGAGAGAGGUGCGGACAGAUCUUUGGUCUUGAAGGCCAGAAUUCGGUCAUAUUCACAGACACAUUUGGAAGCUUGCAAAAGGUGGCCAAGAGAAGGAACAGGGGAUGUCACUGAUGAGCUGUGCAGAAAUGUCACCUCCUGGAGAACCAUCUAGUUAGAUGGACUACAUCUGAGUUCUGCUAAUGCUCUUCAUUAAGCAAACACGUUCAGCACUGCUGCAGUCACGACUGGAAUACACAGCACACCAGCAUAUGUUGAAAUCCAGGACGCUCAGUUCAACAGAAAGAGUGAGUAAUAUAAAUGGCAUUAACUGAAAUAAAUUUCAGGAUGUUUUUUGAUGGAAAGCAUGCUCAUAUCUCAAAAUCAAGCCUUUCAGUAGACAAAUAAAUGGCUUCAACAUUUUUCAGGGAAAUCUCAGUAGCAUUCCUUGGGCUCGUAGGUCAAGCUUACUACAGUCGAGCAGGCUUAAAUGCAAUAUUACAAUGUUUUUUGCUUCUUACAUAUUUUGAAUGGAACAUAACAAUGAACACACACAUUCUUGUGUUUCUGAUGCAUUCUUUUCUUGCAGAAGCCCCAGUUGGUAGUAAAGCAGUUCACAGCACAGACAUUUCUGUAGAGGAGAAGCUUGUGCAGCAGGUACAGAAGAUAAAAGUGUCAGUGAUGCAUUUUCACUUCUGGCUCAACGCAUCGGGACAUUUCCCCACCUUCUAACAGCUAAAUGUUAUCAGGUCUCCUCUCGCCUUUUCAACAGAAUGCUUCAACACUACUCAUCAGUUUUUGUUCAAGACAGCAGGGAAUGAAGCUCAUCAAACACAUUGCCUACAGCAUGCAGUCUGACACACUGGACUAAUAAUAGCUUUCCUGUCAUCACAAAAUAUCACAUUUAUGUGUGGCAUCCAGAAUGGAGCCAACCAAAGCGAGCUGCAUGGCCACACGUCUGUCUACACACACUUAUUCACACUGGUGGGCACCAGGAAAGGACAGGCAGCAGAGCAGCCAUCCACAUACUGUAGACACGAUGUGUUUUUCAGACAAGUUUCCUUCUCUUAAGCUCUGUAAUUGCUGUCAUUAACACUGAGCAGUAUGACAGCAAAAGAAGAAUCCCACAAAUGUAAUGGAUCAACUUAAAAAAAGUUAAAAUUUGUCAAUUUUAAGUAGCUAACCAUCAUUUCCCUUUUGUCAUAUAUUAGGAGGGCCACCAAGAUGAUCAGAGGGAUGGAGCUCCUCUCCUGUGAAGAGUGCUUAAGGGAACAGGCCUUUGUUUAGCUUGGAGAAGAGAAGGCUCUGGGCAGACCUCACUGUAAUCCUCCAAUAUUUGAAGGGAGCUUAUAAACAAGAGAGGGAAUGACUUUUUACAAUGAUAGAUAAUGAUAGGACAAGGGGGAAUGGUUUUAAUUGGUUUUUUUUUUUUGGUCUAGCGGUUGGCAAUCCUGUCCAUGGCAGGGGGGUUGAAACUAGGAUGAUCAUUACGAUCCUUUUCAACCCACGCCAUUCUAUGAUUCUGUGAUAAACUGAGACGGGGAGAUUUAGGUUAGAUAUUAGGAGAAAGUUUUUCACUCAGAGAGUGGUGACACACUGGAACAGGUUGCCCAAGGAGGCUGUGGAUGCCCCAUCCGUGGAGGCGUUUAAGACCAGGCUGGAUGUGGCUCUGGGCAGCCUGGUCUGGUGGUUGACGAUGCUGCACAUAGCAGGGGGGCUAAGCUAGAUGAGCAUUGUGGUCCUUUUCAACCCAGGCCAUUCUAUGAUUUUAUAUAAUUCCAUGCAGUUAUUGGGGUUUUUUGUUGUUGUUCUUUUUGAGAUAAUUCAGUCAUGUACUAUAUAACAUCUCACCUAAAUCUCCCCACUUUAGCUUAAAGUCAUUAAUAAACUAAGUGUCCAGCCCUGCUGUCCUGCUUCACAGUGCAGGCCCAGUAAGAAAAGCUGCAAUUAAUAAGUAAAUGAAAGCUGCCUGCAAGCACGUCCUCACUGCACAGCAGAUAGCAUGGAGGCUUCUGUUACAGCUGAAAGGUCAUAGAAAUCUAAUCCAUUGUGAUAAUUAAAAGCUGACAGGAGAUGAGCCCCUGACCUUGUGAUUCAUGGAGUUUUUCCUCAGUGGCACAAGGGUCGGCUGCAACCCGGCCACCCUCUGAAGCCCUGAGGUCCCCCUGAGGCACACAUUGCAAAAUGGGGCACACUUGGACAUGCAGUGCCCAACCUCUCCGUACCCCUGAGUACAGCAGGUGCAGCACUGAGCGAUGUACUGAGCGCCACGCUUCAGCCUUUGGACGUGCAUCGCUGGACUGAGCGACCACUGGGUGGCAAUGACAAUCUCCUGGAAAACAUUUUCCUGCAUUUGCUGAUCUCGGCUUCCUUUCCUGCUCCUCCCCUUCUGUUCUUUUUUUUUCCUAGGGAUAUUUUGUUCAACAACUUCCAGAAGAGAUAAGGAUCUACACUUAUUGAUAGAAUUUGUCUUCCAUCAAGAAAACCAUCAAUGCUCAAACACACACAGAGCAGAACAGAGCCAGGGCACUGCCUGCAGCCACCCCACGCUGAUUCCCUGUUGGUUCCCACAGCACUCCCCAGUGCCCAGGAUGCCCCCAGCAAACAGACAGCACAAAGCACAACGGAAAGGGGCUGCCCGUACUGCAGUCGGCCGGGGCUCACGGUAGCAGAGUUCUCCUCUUUGUGUCUCGUUUUGCUCAGCUUCUUCAUUCAUUCAGAGCUGCCUGCAGAGACAGAUAUGGAGGAAACGAACCAGACAGAGUCGCUCUCACAGCUCCUGUUUUGUUCUCCAGUCACCUAUUUCCCCACAGCUCAGCACAUAGUGUGCUUUAUGCAACGUCUUCUUUCUUUCAGGCAUGAAACAAAACUGUCUCUCAGUGCUGAGCAGUACCAUGCCAGCUUUUCAUAGAGGAGGAGGGAGUAAUUACAGGGAUUACGAGUGUGGCGCUGAAUGUCAACAUAUAUUAAAGCUGUUUAAUAUCUUGAAAUAGAAUAUCCUUCCACCUGAGGCACUGUCUUUCUGCCUAGAAUUAAAUUGUGGCAUCAACUGCCUUGGAUCUACCUAGUAACUCAUUUUGUUGGCAUACUUAAGAAGUUAUUCAUCUCAGCAUUACCAGAGCGCAUCAAAACUAUUUUGUGCUCGCAGGCAGCACGGCAGCUUCACCCAAUGCUCCUUUGAAGGCAUAAAAAACACUCUGUCACUCACUGAGAGCACGCUGCUGCCUGCAUCCCCUAUGCCAACCUCUGGAAAAAAGACAGGUGAUAGCAGUGGAUGCUACACAACGCCAUCACCCAGUCCUUUCUUCAAGCUAUUUAUCUCUACACACCUUUGCUUUGGGGUGAUGAUGCCAACAAGCAGUGGAGUAAUCACUGAGAGACCAAAGCGCAGAGGUUCAGGAGCACUGCUAGGGCUCAAUGGUGGGUCCCAUCCUGGACCUCUGAACUCACCCGUUCCAGCCCAUGUUGCUGCCUGCAGCCUCCUGCCUUUCCUCCUUGCAGAGCUCUGCCCACCCCAAGGCACAGGAAGAAGCCAGGUUCAUAUUAGGGUCAGUGACAACGCUUCUGUAGUGAGGUUUCCUGAACUAGCAUCACAAAAACAAGAGCUCACACAACUGAAGGCAUUUCAAGUUACAAAGGCAGCCUGCAAGGCAGGUGAGAAGCUCCUUUGCAGACUGAACAGCAAAUGAAAAA